rnacentral:lncRNA from 1 species
AAUAAAUAUAUUUUUUCAUUUUUUUCACAAUUUCACUAAUCCUCCUAAUUCUACCAAUUAUUGUAACUAUAACUACUGUUUAUAAAGUUAUUUCUAACCUCACUAUGUAAAAAUCUCUAUUUCAUACACUUUUACAACCAACCCCAUUCCAGCCAUAAUAUUGACUUGCUUGAGCCAAUAAAUAAUUAUUUCAAACUGUCACGAUCCAAACUUUAAAAUUAACACUCACCUUCAAGCUAGAUUAUUUUUUAUCAGUAGCAUUUUUUAUUACAUGAUCUAUCAUAGAGUUCUCAAUAUGCUAUAUACAUUCAGAUCCAAACAUUAACUGAUUCUUUAAGUAUUUGCUCAUAUUUCUUAUCACUAUACUAUUUCUAGUUACUCUCAACAACUCCUUUCAACUGUUUGAGAACAAGCAAGAAUUAUAUUAUUUUUGUCAAUUGAUUAUAUGGUUGAAUAGACACAAAUACAGCAGCCCUCCAAACAAUUUUAUGUAACUGCAUGGGAGAUACUGGAUUUAUACUACAAUAAUAUGGGUUUUUUAUUAUAUUCAAAUACAUGAGAAUGCAACAAAUUUUUAUGCUCAAUUCCUAUCCCAAUAUCCUUCCAUUAAGUGGAGUCAUUCUGGCAACUGACAAGUUUGCCCAAUUUGGCCUUCACCCAUUAUUACCAUCAGAAAUAGAAGGUCCAACACUUGUCUCAGCCCUACUCCAUUUCAUCACAGUGUUAUAACAGGGGCUCUUAACCCAAUUUUAUGCACUAAUAGAAAAUAAUAAAACAAUCCAAACACUAAAAAUAUGCUGAGGUGCUAUUACCACUACAUUUACGGCAAUUUGUGCCCUAACACAAAGUGACAUCAAAAAGAUUGUCACAUUUUGUACCUCAAGACAACUAGGUCUUAUAAUAGUCAUUAUUGGUAUUAAUCAACUACAUCUAGCACUUCUCCACAUCUAGACACAUGCAUUCUUUAAAGCUAUACUAUUUAUAUAUUCAGAGCCAUCAUCCACAACCUUAAUGAUGAUCAAGAUAUUCAAAAAAUAGGAUGUCUAUUUAAAUACAUACCUCUUCAAUCCUCCUUACUUAUUAUUGGAAGCCUUGCACUCAUAGGCAUACCUUCCCUUACAGGCUUCUACUUCAAAGACUUAUUUAUCAAAACUGCAAGCAUGUUGUAUACUACUGCCUGAGCCCUUUUAAUCACACUUAUCACCACCUCCCUAACAGCUGUCUACAGUACUCAAAUUGUCUUUUUUGCACUCCUAGGACUACCUAGUUUUUCAGCUUUCAUUAUUAUCGGUGAAAUUAACUCCUUCCUAAUUAAUUCAAUUAAACCUUUAACAAUUGGUAGUAUUUUUGCUUUUUUAAAAAUUUCCAACAACAUUUCUCCUGUAACUAUUCCCCAAAUGACUAUGCCAUUAUACCUAAAACUUUCAGCCCUUGCCAUAACUAUCUUAGGCUUCAUUAUGGCAAUUAGAAUUUAACCUAAUAACAUGUAAUCUCAAAUUUGAAUUCUCCUCAUACAUAUAUAAAUUUUCUAACCUUCUAGGGUUUUUCCAACAGUUGUUCACCAUUUAUCAGCGUACCUAAACCUUUCUAAAAGUCAAAAUACAGCAUCACUUUAAUUAGACUUGACUAGAAAAAUACCAAAAAUUAUCUCAUCUCCAAAUAAUAGCCUCAGUAAGUAUCCCUAACCAAAAUGGCCUAAUUAAAUUAUAUUUUUUCUCUUUCUUCAUUUCAUUUUUAUUAUCUAUACUUCUA